rnacentral:snoRNA from 1 species
AGCCAAUGAUGACCUUUACCAAUUUUUUUUCUGACACCUCGUAUGAGAGCUAAGCUCCUGAUUCCAAUGCUGCUCUGAGGCUG